rnacentral:tRNA from 1 species
GGCUCAGUGGUCUAGUGGUAUGAUUCUUGCUUUGGGUGCGAGAGGCCAUGGGUUCGAUUCCCGUCUGAACCC